UACAAGUGCAACCAUAAGUUUCCGCGCCCAAUUUUAAUCGUUCGUCUUAUUUAAAUUUUUUUAUAAUUAGUAUUUUUAUUGUUAUGAGAUGAUAAAACAUGAAUAGUACUUUACUCGUGACUUAUAUUUUUAAAUUUUUUCAAAAAAUUUUUAAAUAAGACGGACGGUUAAAGUUGGACGCGGAAAACUAUGGCUGCACUUAUA
rfam:Oryza sativa (indica cultivar-group) chromosome 5, whole genome shotgun sequence.